CAGUAGCCGCGGUAAUACGGAGGGUGCAAGCGUUAAUCGGAAUUACUGGGCGUAAAGCGCACGCAGGCGGUCUGACAAGUCAGAUGUGAAAUCCCCGGGCUUAACCUGGGAACUGCAUUUGAAACUGUCAGGCUGGAGUCUUGUAGAGGGGGGUAGAAUUCCAGGUGUAGCGGUGAAAUGCGUAGAGAUCUGGAGGAAUACCGGUGGCGAAGGCGGCCCCCUGGACAAAGACUGACGCUCAGGUGCGAAAGCGUGGGGAGCAAACAGGAUUAGAGACCCGUGUAGUCCCUGUCUCUUAUAC
rnacentral:rRNA from 1 species